GAUGUUGAGAUGCAGGUUGGUGGAGAAUAGCCACGACCUAUCUCAACCAAAAAAAAAAAAAAAAAAAAACGAGAUAAUGGUGAGGAGCACACUUGCCCGUUACUUGUAUUGCAUUGGAAUGAUCUUUUUGAUUGUGCUGUAGUGUAGUACAAUCUACUUGCUGUGGGAAACCCUGCCAGAUUAGUUUCAUUUGAUGCUUGUUCAACUAUAACAAGCCCGAGUAAAAGGGAAGAUAUAUUGCGAAAGAAGGAUUGUCAACCCAGCGCUGGAAGUUCGCACACCUGUUUACGGAGAGCAUCUUACUACCAGCAUAUGCUACUACAAGCAUAAAGGCUUUUAGAUUAGAAUUCUGCGGAAAUAAUUCUUUUCUAAACUGUUGCUGGUUUAUACUACACGAAUUGUUCUGACCUCGAGUCUUCUUUCUUGAUAUUGUCCCAGAUUUUACUGCGAUUAUUACGAUGCUUCUAUCAUGCACGCUGGUACGCACUUCAUUAUAAUUUUCUAUUGUUUCUUUGUUUCUUCCUUUUUGGGUAGUUGUGUCUUUCUUGCUCCAAGAUAAAUAUUUUGAUGGGUUUAGUUCAAACCUCCGGUGGUGUCGGGCGUUAUAUUAUUACGAAUAUGAUUGUCUUUACAGUUAUUUUUUUAUUAUAAAGUAUUUAGAGUGAUGGCUUACAGACAAAAUCAUUAAAAUUAGAUUUCAUAUAUAUAUAUUUUUUGACAUUAUAUAUCUUGUCUUGUCAUAAAAACACAUCUAAAAAUGACAAUUUUAAUGAUUGUUAUAGGGUGUUUUUUUAAUUUGCUAUUUAGACUAAAAAUUAAUAACUUUGAUCUUGAAUUGGAAAUUUUGAUCUCUUAUUUUAAAAUGGCCAUUUUAUUUUUAUUGCUUAUUUUAUGGGUUUUAUUGUGAUUUUAAAAAAUUUUCAAAUUCGGAUUGUAGAUGUUUUUAAUAUUAAAUAUUGGCCAAUUUGAAUAAAAAAUUUAUUACUUUUGAGUUUUUGCAAAAAGAGGCCGUUUUUUUGAAUUUUGUAGUUUUUUUGAAUUUUGUAGAUUCAAACCGAAUUUUUAGAAAGAUGAUAAAGCUAUCCUUUUUUCGAAAUGCAUAAAAAUUAUAUGCCAUUAAGUGUAAAAUUUUUUGAAAAUGACAAUUGUUAAACCAUAAUUAUAUGUAUUUUUUUCGUGAGAUGAGAAUUUUCAUUUAAGAUAAAAUAAAAAAAAUAAAAUAUAAUUAAUAAGAUGAAAAAGUAUAAUAUUUUCUCAAAUAGUACAAUAUGUUUUUCCAAAUAGUUUAAUAUAAAUAGUGCAAUAUAUAUAUUGUUAAUACACAUUUUGUAUGAUUUUUAUACUAAAUUACGUACAGUUUAGUAUAUUACAUAAAAAUAAUAUAAUGGAUUAUAAUAUAUUAUAAAAAUUAUAUAAUAUAUAAACAAAUGGUGCAUAUUUUAUAUUGUUUGUGUAUAUAUUUACAUCAUUUGUGUAAAUGUUGUACUAUUAUGAAAGAAUGUUGCAUCAUUUAGAUGUGUGUUGCACUCUUUUUUUAAAAAAAUUAAAUUUUAUUGUAUAUUAAAUAAAAUUUUUUGGAAAUAAAAAUUGCUAAGUUAUAAUUAUAUGUAACUUUUUAAUGAAACGAGAAACCUCAUUGAAGAUAAAAUAAAAAAAUAAAAAAUAAGUAAUAAAAUAAAAAGUGUAACAUUUUCUCAAAUAGUGCAAUAUUUAUAUAAGUAGUGUAAUAUAUGUAUUAUUAAUACACAUUUUGUAUGAUUUUUAUAUUAAAUUACAUACAGUUUAGUAUAUUAUGCAUUGUUAAUAUAUAUUUUGUUUUAUUAUUUUCACGUAAUAUACUAAAUUGUACGUAAUUUAGUAUAAAAAUCAUACAAAAUGUGUGCUAACAAAACAUAUGUUGCACUACUUAUAUAGAUAUUGUACUAUUUGAGAGGAUGUUACACUCUUUCAGUUUACUAAUUAUUUUUUAUUCUUUUUAUUGUAUUUUGAAUGAGGAUUCUCGUUUCACGAGAAAGUUACCUGUAAUUAUGGUUUAACCGUUGUUAUUUUUAAGAAAUUUUAUUUAAUAUAUAAUAAAAUUUAAUUUUUUUUUAAAAAAGUGCAACACAUAUCAAAAUAGUGCAACAUUCUCUUAUAAUAGUGCAAUAUUUACACAAAUAGUAUAAAUAUUUGUAUAAAUAAUAUAAAAUAUGUAUCGUUUGUACAUAUAUUAUAUAAUUUUCUUAUAUAUUGUAAUAUAUAUUAUAUUAUUUUUAUGUAAUAUACUAAACUGUAUGUAAUUUAGUGUAAAAAUUAUGCAAAAUGUGUUUUAAUAAUACAGAUAUUGCACUAUUUAAGAGGAUAUUGCAUUUUUCAUCUUAUUAAUUAUUUUUUAUUCUUUUUAGUUUGUCUUGAAUGAGUUUUCUCUGUUUUACGAGGAAGAUAUAUGUAAUUAUAACUUAGUAAUUGUUAUUUUUCAAAAAAUUUGACAUAUUAUUUAAUAUACAAUAAAAUUUAAUUUUCAAAAACAGAGAGUGCAACACACAUCUAAAUAGUGCAACAUCCUUUUAUAAUAGUGAAACGUUUACACAAAUAAUGUAAAUAUCCGUACAAAGUAUAAUAUAUAUACCGUUUGUAUAUAUAUUAUAUAAUUUUUAUAAUAUGUUGUAAUAUAUUAUAUUAUUUUUACCUAAUAUACUAAAUUACAUAUAAUUUAGUGUAAGAAAUCAUGCAAAAUGUGUAUUAACAAUACAUAUGUUACACUAUUUAUAUAGAUUUGUACUAUUUGGAAGAACAUGUUGUACUAUUUAAAAAAAUGUUGCACUCUUUCAUUUUAUUAAUUAUUAAUUAUGUUUUUAUUUUGUUUUGAAUGAGAUUUCUCGUUUCACAAAAAAUAAACAUGUAAUUAUAAUUUAGUAAUUUUUAUUUUUAAGAAAUUUGAUACUUUAUUUAAUACGCAAUGAAAUUUAAUUUUUUUUAAAAAAAGAGUGCCAACACAUAUUUAAAUAGUGCAACAUCUUUUUAUAAUAGUGUAAUGUUUAUAUAAAUAAUUUAAAUAUCUAGACAAAUAGUGUAAAAUAUAUAUCGUUUGUACAUAUAUUAUAUAACUUUUAUAAUAUGUUGUAAUAUUUUAUAUUAUUUUCGCAUAAUAUAUUAAACUAUACGUAAUUUAGUGCAAAAAUUAUACAAAAUGUGCAUUAACAAUGCAUAUGUUGCACUACUUAUACAAAUAUUGUACUAUUUGGAAGAACGUGUUGCACUAUUUGAGAGAAUAUUGUACUCUUUUAUUUUAUUAUAUUUUAUUCUUUUUAUCUUGUUUGGUGUGAAGCUUCUUGUUUUAUGAAAAAUGUACAUAUAAUUAUGACUUAGGUUGUCAUUUCUAAAAAAUUUUACACUUGAUAGUUUAGCAGUUGUAUUUUUUUAGACAUUUAAAAAAUAUAAUUUUUAUGCAUUUUGAAAGAGGGGUAGUUUGGUUAUCCUUUUAAAAAUUUAGUCCGAAUCUGCAAAAUCUAAAAAGAUAGUCUACUUUUGCAAAAGCUCAAAAUAAUAAAUUUUUUAUGCAAAUUGGCCUUAAAUAUUUUAGAAGUUUCUCCUUUUUCUUUCUUGUAGCAACAGGAUCCAAUAAUCAUGUAUGUUCUAAUUAACUUUUUCCCUUUCUUUUUCCAGCAACUAUAUAUAUGUUAAUCGUCAUUAUCUAUCUUGUAUGCUUACAUUAUCCUAUUUGUUAUACCUACUAGUAAUGUUAAAAAGUGAAAAAAAAUUAUUUACAUCUAAUCUAAUCUUGUAAAUUCCUUUUUUUAAUUAACAAUAAAUAAUUACAAUGUAAGUUAAGUUUUUAUGUAUUAUUAAAUCAUUUGUANGCUUGGUACUAUUGAUAGUAUAAUAGCAUAAUUCUAUAUAGAGUCCGGCUACUAUACUAUUGCGCUGAAUAUGAGCGAGAUGACUCGAGCUUAUAUUUUACUGUUUACAAACGAGCGAUUGGAUUUCGAACUUAUUUUGUGUUGAUUUGAUUUCGAACUCAUUUUGUGUUGAAUAUAAGGUGGCUCGCAAACAUACGCAGCUAAAAAGUUUAGUGUUUCAACUGCUGCUUAAAUUGAUAGCAGCACUUUUUAAAGGUAAGAAUUAUCAUGCAUGUCUUAACAAAUAUCUGGAGUCAUUAAAAUUUUUUUAUACUCUAUGGUGUAUACUCUAUUUUUCUUCUCAGUAACUAUGUGAAAACUUUUAGUUAAUAUUGUAUUUACUCUUUUAGUUAAUAUUUUAUUUACUUGUUAUCAAAUUUUGUAAAUCUACAUUUUUCAAACUAAUAAUAAAUAGCCACCGUCAAAUUUUAAGGCCAAUUUACAUUAAAAAAUUGACAAAUUUUGAGCUUUUAUAAAAGUUGGUUGUCUUUUUCUAUUUUGCAAAUUCGAUUCAAAAUUUUAGCAAAUUGAUUAAAAUAUCCUUAUCAUUUUUUCCCUCUUCUCUUUUUUUUCUUCUCUUUUUUUUCGCUCGUUCAUUUUUUUUCUCUCGCCGAAAAAAGCGCAAAGGAGGCAGAGGCGCCUCGCCUCUUACCCUCGUGCCCUCGCUCUCGCACCCUUCACCCUUCUCCCCUUCGACCUCGUUAAGGCCGUGCCACGACUCUUUUUUUUUAUGACACCUCUCUUGAUCUCUCGCAUUUCCCUGCCUUUCUCGUCCUCUCUCUCCCUCCUCUGCCGCCCUCGACGACGAUACAUCUUCGCCGACGUCGAUGCCACGGAGGUCGCUGCAGCGACGCAGCCUCGAAGCCGGGGGGCUUUAGCGACGGCGCCAUGGCCGUUGGCAGAGAUGGGUGAUCAAAAAAAAAUUAUAGAAGAAGAAAGAAUAAAAAAAUAAAAAUAAAAAAAUUAUAAAAAAAGAAAGAUGAAGAUAAAAUUACACCGUUAUAAUAAAAUUGUACCGUUUUAAAAAAAUAUUGCACUAUUAUGGACCCACUAUUUAAGAUAUAAACUGUAUCCUUUAAAACAAAAAUUACACUCGUUAAACGAAAAUUGCACUAUUUGAGAUAUAUUUAUACUGUUUCUUCUCUUAGGGGCUGUUUGGUUGGAUGUAGUUGCAGAAACAGUGUAGUUGGAAAUACAUGCAGUUGCAAAUGCUGCAGUUGUAAUUACACCUAGUCUGUUUGGUUUUACGCAGUUGCAACUGCCGCAGUUACAUUUCUUCUGUUUGGUAAUAUGAAGCUGAUAGUUGUAUUUGUGAAUUUUGUCACAUUUUCAGAUAGAAUGGUGAGAUUACUUUCACUAAACAUAAAAUAAUUGUAUAAAUUUAUUAAUCAUUUAAAUUUACUAUUUAUAAAUAAAUAAGUAGAUAUAUAUAAUAUUCUUCAACUUAUUAAUCGACACAUUUAAAAUUUUUAAUUUAUUUAAUUUUAAUAUGUAAAUCAAACUUUAAAAUUUAAACGAUUCUCUCAUUUUUUUUAUCAAAUUUAAUAAUUAUAAUUAAUUAAAACUUAUUAAAUUAACAUACACGAUCACAUUCUAUAAAAUUUUUUUAAAAAAAUAUAUUCUAUAUUCUUAAAUAAAAUAAAUUUAAAAUUUAAUUUUUGCCAAAGCUUGUAUUGUCAUAAAAAUUUUAACAUUAUUAUGCUAGUUUAUUUACAAAUAUUUUUUAUUUACUAUAUAGCAUAUAUUUAUUAUUUAUAGGCUAUUUAUAUUAUUUAAUUAUUGUUUAAUCUUCUUAAAGUGAUCCUAUUCCCUCACUAAACAUUAACGUUGCAGUUGAUACUACCAUACCAACUUUGAUGUAUUCCAACGCAGCUAUUUAAACCUUCUUGUCGAAUUGAAACCAUAGUUAGUUAAUUCGGAUCGGCAAAAAUUCGUACGGAUAUAAUUCGGAAUAUAAAUUCCGUACCCUAUUUUUAAAAUCGUGAAAAAAUCGCUUAAAACGGAUUCGCCAAAUAUAUCGGAAUACUGAUUUAUACGGAUAUUAUACGUUACCCAAUUAAAGAAUUGGGAUCAAAAAAUUCCGUGAUCUAUUAAAUUAAUUUUUUUCCAUCAAAUUAUCAAUUGCAUAAAUAUCUUCAAUUUUUAAGAAUAAUAAAGAAUAAAAAGCACAAAAUAAUAAAAAAUAAUAAUAAACAGAGAAUGAACACAUUCAUUAAAUGAUAGUAUAAUAAAGGAGAUUCUGGUACCACUAAGUUAAUCUAAGAAUUAUUUAUUCUCUAUGUUUGGUUGCUUUGUGCAUAACAAACAUAAUGGACACAUUCAAUUUAAGUCAGCCAGGAGCCAUUUGUGUAUAAAAAACGUAUUCAUCAAAUGGACUAAAAAGCUUCCAACUUUGGCUUUGUAAAAAAAACACCCGAUUACUGAUCUAUCUUGUUGAUAGCUGAAGCGGAAGCGGAAGAGGCGACGAGUAGGUUUCGACUUGUUGAAUAGUGAAGUAACCCGAUCUUCGAUCUUCAACUUUCUGAAGACGAGCUUCCAUGCCGUUGCGGCGAGCUGCCGGGAAGGGUAAAGAGGGGAGGGAAGGACCGCCGGACAGCCAUAGGGUCGCCGUGGCAGGGGCUUCGACGGUUUUUGUGAAAAGUUGAGCGCCGCAAACCGCCGCAGGGUUGAGAAAGUUAGGCAAACCCUUUUUUUUAAUAAGAGUGUGGUGGCCGUGAGAAUGGUGUGUGGACUCGUUGCGUGAAGGAGGCGUUCGAGAAAGGUUUUUUUUUUUUUUUUUUUAUUUUUUUUUUGGCACGACAUGCCGAUUCAGAAAAUGCACUUGUUUUUUUUUUCCCGUUUGGGCCACCGCGAGCCCCGACGUGGCUCGCAGCAACGGGCCGACAUUUUUGGCCUAAUUAUUCGCCGAAUACCCGUUAAUUCGGCAAUAAAUUCUUUUUGCCCAAAAACAACGCGAAUUAUUCCGAAUUUUGGAAAAAUGCUAACGGCAAUUUACAACCAGCGCAAUAAGAUUGAUAUGCGUAAAAUUUCGAAUUUCAAACCAAUGGCGCAGAAAUAAUUCGCCACAAAUUUAACUAACAUCGAUUGAAACUGUCAACUAAUAAUACCCUCACUACACCUAAAGCUCAAUACAAGGAAAUUAUUGUAUGGCUGAAGUCAUGCAUUGUGAGCUAAAGACUGCAAAAGAAAAACUAGCAGUUUAGUCCAGAUCGUCAAAAUUGUGCAUACCAAACAGCACCUUAUUUGUAUUUUUGAGAUGUAAAGUCCAGCAUCCAUUAAAAUAAAGUAUAAUCUUUAAACGAAAAAUUAAAUUAUUUGAAAGAUAUUGAUACUAAUUUUUAAAUUACACUCUUAAGGAUAUAAAACCGUACAGCGCGAUCCUUAAAAAAAGAAAAAAUAUACCUUUUUUAAACGAAGACAUUGUUUUAAAAGAAUUAUUUAUAUGUGCUUCCUUCUCUUGUUGCACUAUUUGAAAUAUAAAUUACCACACCUUUAAAAAAAUAUUUAAUCUAUUUGAAGAGGAUAAUGUGUAACACCUAAGUUCUCAUUCGAUCGUUUGGCUUGGCAUCUGAAUUUUUUGCGAUUUGGUCUUUGUGAACAUUUUGACACGUGCUGUGAUUGAACCAAUAAAAUAAUCAUGAGCACCAAGUAUUUAACUAGUUUUUUAGGUUUUCGACUUAAAAAUGGUAUAAUUAGAUGAAAAUGAUGCAAAAGGUGUAAAUCAACGAUGGUAAGAACAAACUCUAUAACAUCGAGCCUUGUGAGCUGAUCUGUGCCAAAUGAUCAAAUCCCAGUAAAUGGUGCUAUCCUACUGCCCACUCGAUUAGCAACGGGAGUCGAUAGCCACCAAGGGGCUCCGGUGCUAUCGAUUUUAAAGCUUCGCGUUAGAUUUAAAUGCCGGUGUUAGUAUUAUUUUUAACCUGUGAGAGGAUCCAUAAACUUAACAUAUCAACCAAUUAGGCCAUUUACCACCUCUUUAAAAUUGGUUGAAGAAAAAGUUGACGCUCACACUAAUUCCAGGGGCCGUUGCUAAGUUAUAGUGUCAGUGCGCCAGGCUGACGUGGUCUAUGUCGAUUAGUCGGUUUUGGUUUUGGUACUUGACUAAUGAUACGGCCCCACAUCAUCCACGCUGCAUAUUUUCUCAUCCAAAGCUAAAAGACCAACUAGCAGCACGAUAGCUUUUGUGCAAACUGAAUAGUAUUCUGCACACCUAAUUCUAUAUACAAUAUAUAUAAUAUAUAUAUAUAUAUAUAUACGAGAGAGAAGAGAAGAGAGAGACGAAGAGAGAGAGAAUCCGGUUAUAAUACUAUCGAUAGCACUAAGGAUUUUGUGCUAUUGAGUUUUCUACCAUUAAAUUUAACCUUUGAUUAUUUUUACCCGUUAGAUUAUACUAUUCAACCAACCACCCACUCAACCUUAGGACGUCCAUAUCAUCCUAACCGCAUAUUUCUCAAUUCAAGAACUAAAAAACUAAUAGCAUCAAUAGCUUGGUAUAUACACACACAUGCCUAAAAAAAAAUACGUAUCCAUGUUAUGGCACUCUGCACAAGAGCUUUUUGAAUGUUAAAAAAGAGCUUUGUCAAGUCAUGGCACAUUUUAAAAAUUUUAAUUUAAUAAUAUCAUUCCCAAACUCAUUCUAUAAUGAAGUCUCAUGUAGCUAGUGCUAAAGAUAUACACGAAAUAGUUAAAGAUAUAUUAGACAAAAAUAAAAGAUAAAUUUACCUCCCAAAUCACCUUUUAAAUAGAAUUUUCUUACAAAAACAUUGAAAAUAAUCUCACCAAUAUUUUUGAAAGAUAUGUUUCAAUUCCAUACAACCAAACAAAUUAUUUCUAGUUAUAAGGCUUUUCACUAUAUUCAGAAAACACGUAAAUAUAACUCUUGCAUUUUUCCAACAAAAUAGCCCUUAACUACAUCAAUAUGAGAGAGGUAUAUAUAUAUGCAAAGAAUUCAAAAAUUUCUAGUUUCAUGGCCCACAUUUUUUUCAAUGCUGGGCUACUAAUUUCUGGACCCUGGCCCAGCAAGGCCCUGCCCGAGCAACUCGGAGCUGAACAGUUCCAUGGGCCAACUUAAUGUUUUUAAAUAUUAUGAUUCUUCGAAAUUUUUUAAAUGCUUCAUGACUCCCGUGUCUUUAAAUACUAAUUUUAUAAAACGAUAAACUUCAAAAACUAAGCAUAUGGUUCCGCACUUUCUCACUUAGUAUUUUAUGGUUUAAAGUAUAUUAAGUUAAUAUUCUAUAAUUUCAUUUUCAUCUUUUCGUUAGCUUUUUCGUUAAUAUUUCGUUAAAUUAUAUACAAAAAACUUCAGAUAAUUCAUCUAAAUUUAUCGAAUAUUUAUUUUAGUACCCUUUAAUUUUAACUUUGUCACUUAUUUAACGAAAAGAAUUAAUAAAAUUAACAAUAAGAAAAUACAAAUAAAAUUUCAGAACAUUAAAUUAAUAUACUUUAAACCAUAGGGUACAAAAAUGAAAAAGUAUGAAACUACUGGAGCGGUAUUUAAACUUUUUCCUUUAUAAAAUGUAUAAAAUUUUUCAUUCCAUAAAUAAAAUUUUGAGAAGUGAAAACUUCAAAAGAAAGUUAUUCUACUCGGAAUAACUCAAAAUAUAUUUGAAAGAAGGAAAAAAAUCGAAACCUGUGCAUAGAGGGAGAGCAUUGUGAGAGUUUAGUUAUUAGUUCGUAAGGAUAGGCUUUUAGAAACAUGUAAGCUUUAAUUUCUUUCGAUGGAAAGAUAAAAGAGAUAAAAUAAAAAAAAAAAGAGAAAAAAAAAAUACUCCUAUGAUCUCUUCAUUUUUUUUAUUUUAAUCCAAAGAAAAUUUAGAUAUUUUCUCUCUGAGCUUUUGUUUUUUUCCCCUUUUUUCUCUUCAUCCAAAGGAGUGCUAAAGCAUGUCAAAAUAUUAUACUACGCUAGUUCUACAAUUUCACCACCACAAGAGAGAGAGAGAGAGAGAGAGAGAGAGAGAGAGAGAGAGAGAGUUACCAGGCAAGGAAGAGAGGAAGAAACCCUAGAAUUCCUGCAGGGCCAGAUCCCACCUCGCCCCUUCCCUAGCCGCCGCCAUGGCCGAGGAGGUGCUUCUUGGCGAGGAGGACAUGGUGGAUAUUGGGGAAGAGGACGUGGUGGAUGUUGGGGGAGGAGGAGGACGCCGCUGGAGAAGGCGAUGGCACCGCACCUGAGAUCAUCACCAAAACCCUAAUUAAUAAAUUGGAAACCCUAAUUAAAGCUAGAAGCCGUAAAAAUGAAAUCCCAUAGAAGGCCUAGAAACCUUAAUUCUCGCAGGAGAGAGAGGUUCUCUGGAAAUCGCGGAAACCCUAAUGGAAACCCUUGAAAACACUAGGAUAGGGGAGAGGGGCGGAGAGAGAGAGGGGGGUAGGGAAGGAUACCGACCUCGGCGGGAAGGACCUCUAGAAACCCAAGGAACCCUUAAUGAAACACUAAUUCUUGGAACGCUAUAAACCUUAGAAACCCCAAAUUUUUGGUACCCUAAAAAUAUUAGAAACCCUAACUCUCGGAGGAAGAAGGGGGAGGAGCGAGCCCUAACCUCGGCGGCGAGGUACGCGAGGAGCUGAGGCAAUCUGCGUCGCCUCCCGAGCUCAGCGUGCGAACGAAGCUCGAGGAAGAAGACGAAGGAGCGCUGAGAGUUUGGGGGAGAAAGGGAGAGGAGCUUUUAGAGAGAGAGAGA
rnacentral:lncRNA from 1 species